GUUCCAGGCCUUUACGGGGCGCAGCAGGCGCGAAAACUUUACAAUGCGGGCAACCGUGAUAAGGGGACACCGAGUGCCAGCAACAUUUGCUGGCUGUCCAGGUGCGUAAAAUGCACCUGUUAGCAAGGGCCGGGCAAGACCGGUGCCAGCUCGCCGCGGUAACUACCGGCGGCCCGAGUGGUGAUCGUUAUUAUUGGGUCUACAAGGGUGCGCGUAGCCGGUUUGGUCAGUCCUCCGGGAGAAUAAGUCAUGUUCUCCUGACC
rnacentral:rRNA from 1 species